AGAGUUUGAUCCUGGCUCAGGACGAACGCUGGCGGCGUGCCUAACACAUGCAAGUCGAACGGAGAAUUUAGAAACAAGAAUUUCGGUUCAAGUUUUUAAAUUUCUUAGUGGCGGACGGGUGAGUAACGCGUGAGCAAUCUGCCUUUCAGAGGGGGAUAACACUCUGAAAAGAGUGCUAAUACCGCAUAACGUGUUUGAGUGGCAUCACUUAGACACCAAAGGAGCAAUCCGCUGAAAGAUGAGCUCGCGUCCAAUUAGGUAGUUGGUGAGGUAACGGCCCACCAAGCCGACGAUUGGUAGCCGGACUGAGAGGUUGAACGGCCACAUUGGGACUGAGACACGGCCCAGACUCCUACGGGAGGCAGCAGUGGGGAAUAUUGCACAAUGGGCGAAAGCCUGAUGCAGCAACGCCGCGUGAGGGAAGACGGCCUUCGGGUUGUAAACCUCUGUCCUCAGUGACGAAACAAAUGACGGUAGCUGAGGAGGAAGCCACGGCUAACUACGUGCCAGCAGCCGCGGU
rnacentral:rRNA from 1 species